rnacentral:lncRNA from 1 species
UGUUAGUUAAAGAUAUUAGAGGGUAAAUCAAGUACUUUCACAAUAAUAAAUCUGAGUGUAGGUGGAUAAGUUACUCGGUUUAAUAUAAAAGGUCCUGAAUUCAAAUUCAGAUUGAACGAUCAUGGGGUACAAAGUUUCCUGAGAUGAAAGAGCUUGUGGGCUAUGUUAAAUUAUAUCAAACAAUCGUUAUUCUCUAAUAGUUUAAGUUAUCAAAGAACGGUGUUUUUAACAUUUAUACUCAACACUUCAGUACUCCCCCUCACGUCUGGUCUCAAUUUGAUAGUUCUGCUCUGAUAUCAUGUUAAAUUAUAUAAAACAGUCGUUAUUCUCUAAUAGCUUAAGCUACCAAAAAAUGAUGUUUUUAACAUUUACCUUCAACCGUCUAUAUU